UUACGGCCAUUUCACGUCGAAACGUCGGUUCUCAUACAAUUACCGAAGUUAAGCAACGUCGAGCCUGGCCAGUACCCACAUGAGUGACCUCUUUGAAAUACCAGGUGCCGUAAG